CUGGCGGCAGGCCUAAUACAUGCAAGUCGAGCGCGCCCUUCGGGGUGAGCGGCGGACGGGUGAGUAACGCGUGGGAAUAUGCCCUUCUCUAAGGAAUAGCCUCUGGAAACGGAGAGUAAUACCUUAUACGCCCUUUGGGGGAAAGAUUUAUCGGAGAAGGAUUAGCCCGCGUUAGAUUAGGUAGUUGGUGGGGUAAUGGCCUACCAAGCCUACGAUCUAUAGCUGGUUUGAGAGGAUGAUCAGCCACACUGGGACUGAGACACGGCCCAGACUCCUACGGGAGGCAGCAGUAGGGAAUCUUAGACAAUGGGGGCAACCCUGAUCUAGCCAUGCCGCGUGUGUGAUGAAGGCCCUAGGGUCGUAAAGCACUUUCGCCAGAGAUGAUAGUGACAGUAUCUGGUAAAGAAACCCCGGCUAACUCCGUGCCAGCAGCCGCGGUAAUACGGAGGGGGUUAGCGUUGUUCGGAAUUACUGGGCGUAAAGCGCACGUAGGCGGAUUAGUAAGUUAGAGGUGAAAUCCCAGGGCUCAACCCUGGAACUGCCUUUAAUACUGCUAGUCUUGAGUUCGAGAGAGGUAAGUGGAAUUCCGAGUGUAGAGGUGAAAUUCGUAGAUAUUCGGAGGAACACCAGUGGCGAAGGCGGCUUACUGGCUCGAUACUGACGCUG
rnacentral:rRNA from 1 species